rnacentral:rRNA from 1 species
GACGAACGCUGGCGGCGCGCUUAACACAUGCAAGUCGAACGGAGAGGCCUGCUUUCCCUUGUGGAUUGCGGGUACUCGAGUGGCGAACGGGCGAGUAACACGUGAGUGAUCUGCCCCCAACUUGGGUAUAAGCCUGGGAAACUGGGUCUAAUUCCCGAUAGGACUGCAGGGUGGUGCCUGUGGUGGAAAACGAUUUUCUAGUGGUUGGGGAUGAGCUCGCGGCCUAUCAGCUUGUUGGUGGGGUAAUGGCCUACCAAGGCGGCGACGGGUAGCCGGCCUGAGAGGGUGGACGGCCACAUUGGGACUGAGAUACGGCCCAGACUCCUACGGGAGGCAGCAGUGGGGAAUAUUGCACAAUGGGCGGAAGCCUGAUGCAGCGACGCCGCGUGGGGGAUGACGGCCUUCGGGUUGUAAACUCCUUUCGACCGCGAGGAAGCCACCUGGUUGGAAGGGUGGUGACGGUAGUGGUAGAAGAAGCACCGGCUAACUACGUG